GAGUAUAGCUCAGCUGGUAGAGCGAUACCUUGCCAAGGUAUAGGUCACGAGUUCGAGCCUCGUUACU
rnacentral:tRNA from 1 species